UCCACGUUUCUCCUCCCUGAGCGUGUGUCUUAACUCUGUGUUAAGACUUUGCCCCGGCCUUUCCCCUUUGGCCGGGGCAUUUUUUU
rnacentral:ncRNA from 1 species